UGCAGGUAUCGCCCUAAAAGUAGGGGGAAUCAUAAAGCAUGACGCGCAAGAAUAGAGUCUUCUUCAGAAAAAUCUGUUUCCCUCAUCUAAUAAUCGAUUAUCUCGUAUAAUAAUCGAUUGUAAUGCUAUCAUUUGAGCUAUUAUACUCUCUUUAAAUAAUCGCACCUUCUUUCCAAUAAAUAAACAAGGUUUAUUUCAUCUUUGGCAUCUUAUUAUUAUUUUUGCUAAUGGCAAAAGGGGGAAGAUAACGGGUAUGAUNNNN
rnacentral:lncRNA from 1 species